rnacentral:rRNA from 1 species
GUGUCAGCAGCCGCGGUAAUACGUAGGGGGCAAGCGUUGUCCGGAUUUAUUGGGCGUAAAGAGCGUGUAGGCGGCUAGAUAGGUCCGUUGUGAAAACUCGAGGCUCAACCUCGAGACGUCGAUGGAAACCAUCUGGCUAGAGUCCGGAAGAGGAGAGUGGAAUUCCUGGUGUAGCGGUGAAAUGCGCAGAUAUCAGGAAGAACACCCGUGGCGAAGGCGGCUCUCUGGUACGUGACUGACGCUGAGACGCGAAAGCGUGGGGAGCGAACAGGAUUAGAUACCCGCGUAGUCC